rnacentral:rRNA from 1 species
UAAAAGUUAUCAAAGGAAAUCUUGAUAGAAAAAUAAAGACGUCGCGCGACGAAACAUCAUAGGAAGGCACUUGCUUAUGAACUAUGAGUCUUUUUAAGAAAACUCGCAUUUAAUAUGCUUAAUAACAUUUAUGUGAAUUGAAUCAUCUUAGUAACAUAAUAAAAAAUCAAACGAGAACUUGUAAGUAACGGUGAGUGAACACAAGCUUAGCAAAAUGUUGAAAUCCAGAGAAGGUGUCUCAAGUCCUUUACAGCAUUAAUAAGAAUACAAAGUAGUAUGAUUAACUUUUGUACGAAAAUAGGAGUACCAUCUUCUAAGCUAAAAAAUUUUUCUAAUCGAUAGUGAACGAGUACCGUGAGGGAAAGAUUUAAAUUUGUUAAUUUAUAUUUAUUUGAAGUUGAUGAAUGCAACUACAAAGUGCCUUUUGCAUAAUGAGUCAGUAAGUUAAUAUAUGUAGCAAGCUUGAAAAUAUUUAGGCAUUCUAAGUUACAUGCAUUAGACCCGAAGCCAAGUGAUCUAUUCUUAAACAAGUUGAAGAUGUUUUAAAAUGCAUUGGAGGGCUGAACCCACGUCUGUUGAAAAAUACGGGGACGAUUUAAGAAUAGGGGUGAAAGUCCAAUCAAACUUGGUGAUAGCUGGUUUUCCGCGAAAACUAUCAAAGUAGUACGUUGCUUUUCAAAAAUGUGGGUAGAGCUACUUAUUAAACUUAGAUUUUGCUAAGUUUUAUUAAACUCCAAAUUAUAUUUUUAUUUAGCAGCAGACAGUCAUUAGGCGAUAAGGUUCAAUGUCAAAAGGGAAACAACCCUAAUCGAUGGUUAAGAUCUUAAAAUUAUGAAUUAGUGAAAAAAUGAAAAGUAAUUCGAAUAAACAGAGUAGGCUUAGAAGCAGCCAUCUAUUGGAGAAAGCGUUUUAGCUCAUUAUUUUUACUUAUUUUACUCAUUUAAAAUGUAAGGAGACUUAAAUUCAUAUAUCGAAGCUUCGAAUUAAGUUUAAUUUUUCUUAAUGGUAGCGGAACGUCCUGUAGUCUUUUCUGUUAAUGUUAAAUUGCAUAUUAAAAAUCAGGAGUGCUAAUGCUGACAUGAGUAGCGUCAACCAUGUUGAAAAUAAAUCAUGGUCGUCUAUUGCUCAAGGGUUUCCAGUAAAUUUUAAGUAACUGGGUUUAGUCGGCCCUUAAAAAAAAAGUGAAAACUGUACUUGAUAGGAAAAUUAUUCCGCAUGUUUGCAAAAUAUUUUUGUGUAAAAAAGUACUUUUAAAAGUUUUGCUUAAUAAACUAGCAACUUAAAAAAAGUAUUUUUCAGGAAAAUUUGCAUGAAGUUUGACCGUACUUAGAACCGACACAGGUGAGCUUAUUGAGAAGAUAAAGACGAAUGAGAUAAUUAUACUUAAGGAACUCGGCAAAUUUGCUCCGUACGUUCGCAACAAGGAGUACCUUAAAGGAUUCAAAAAUUAGGGGUAGCGACUGUUUAACAAAAACUCAAAACUUUGCAAAUUCGAAAGAAGACGUAUAAGGUUUGACGCCUGCCCAGUGCUUGAAAGCGAAAAAUACACGUUAACGCUUGUAUCAUAAACUCAAGUAAACGGCGGUCUUAACUAUAAGGAUCCUCAGGUAGCGAAAUUCCUUGGCGGGUAAAUUCCGUCCUGCAUGAAUGGCGUCACGACUACCCCACUGUCUCUAGUAUAAACUCAGCGAAAUUACAUUGUCUGUGAAAAUGCAGACAUCCUACAACAAGACGGAAAGACCCUAUGAUUCUUAACUAUAAUUUUACGUCGCAAUAAUUUUGUGUACAGUACAGUAAAAGUAGGAGUAUACUUAUACAAUUUUGAAAAACUACUCUGUACAUAAGAAAUUGCUUACUGAAGAGAAAAUAUGUAAAAGUGGCGGCUGAAUUGGACCGCUUGACGUUCCGUUAGCUCGUGGAGCAUCUCAGACGAAGCGUCUUUUGGAGUGAAGUAACAGUAAUGGCAUUUGGAUGUGAAUCAGAAUGGAGGUAGGAGGUUAUACAAUACGUGUGAUAUACAGUGGGAGACGGAAAGACCCUAUGAUUCUUAACUAUAAUUUUACGUCGCAAUAAUUUUGUGUACAGUACAGUAAAAGUAGGAGUAUACUUAUACAAUUUUGAAAAACUACUCUGUACAUAAGAAAUUGCUUACUGAAGAGAAAAUAUGUAAAAGUGGUAGUUUACUUGGGACGAGGACCUCCUAAACUGUAACGGAGGUGCACAAAAGUAAAUUUUAAUUAGUUUUUUGUAUUAAUAAAAUAUGUAAUGGUAAAAAUUUGCUUGACGGUAAGAGUUACAACUCAAACCGGGACGAAAGUCGGUCAUAAUGAUCCGGCAGUAAUGUAUGGAAAUACUGUCGCUUAUCGGAAAAAAGAAACUCUAGGGAUAACAGAUUUAUCAUGGCUGAGAGUUCUUAUCGACGCCAUGGUUUGAUACCUCGAUGUCGGCUCAUCUUUUCCUGGAGCUGUAACAGGUUCCAAGGGUAUGGUUGUUCGCCAAAUAAUAAGAUACGUGAGCUGGGUUCAGAACGUCGUGAGACAGUUCGGU